AAUUUUAUAGUUUAAUAGAACAAUUGAUUGCAAGUCUUUAGGUAACUAGUGUUUAAAAUUU
rnacentral:tRNA from 1 species